UGGUUGUUUUUUUAACAUUGAGCUGCAUGAGCUAUUUAUAUAUUUUAGAGGUUAAUUCUUUGUCCGUUGAUUCAUUUGCAAAUGUUUUCUCCCAUUCUGAGGGUUGUCUUUUCAUCUUAUUUAUAGUUUCCUUGGCUGUGCAAAAGCUUUUAAGUUUCAUUAGGUCUCAUUUGUUUAUUUUUGUUUUUAUUUCCAUUACUCUAGGAGGUGGGUCAUAAAAAGAUCUUGCUGUGAUUUAUGUCAAAGAGUGUUCUUCCUAUGUUUUCCUCUAGAAGUUUGGUAGUGUCCAGUCUUACAUUUAGGUCUUUAAUCCAUUUUGAGCUUAUUUUUGUGUAUGAUGUUCGGGAGUGCUCUAAUUUCAUUCUUAUGCAAGUAGCUGUCCAUUUUUCCCAGCACCACUUAUUGAAGAGAGUGUCUUUUCUCCAUUGUAUAUCCUUGCCUCCUUUGUCAUACAUUAAUUGACCAUAGGUGCCUGGGUUUAUCUCUGGGCUUUCCUGUUCCAUUGAUCUAUAUUUCUGUUUUUGUGCCAGUACCAUAUUGUCUUGAUUACUGUAGUUUGUAGUGUAGUCUGAAGUCAGGGAGUCUGAUUCCUCCAGCCCCAUUUCUUUCCUUCAAGAUUGCUUUAGCUAUUCAGGAUCUUUUCUGUCUCCAUACAAAUUUUAACAUUUCUUUGUUCUAGUUCUGUAAAAAAUGCCAGUGGUAAUUUGAUAGGGAUUGCAUUGAACCUGUAGCUUGCUUUGGGUAGUAUAGUCAUUUUCACAAUAUUGAUCCUUCCAAUGCAAGAACAUGGUAUAUCUCUCCAUCUGUUUGUGCCAUCUUUUAUUUCUUUCAUCAGUGUCUUAUAGUUUUCUGAGUACAGGUCUUUUACCUCCUUAGGUAGGUUUAUUCCUAGGUUCUCUUUGUUGCCAUGGUGAACGAGAUUGUUUCAUUAAUUUCUCUUUCUGAUCUUUCAUUGUUAGUGUGUAGGAAUGCAAGAGAUUUCUGUGCAUUAAUUUUGUAAUCUGCUACUUUACCAAAUUCAUUGAUUAGCUCUAGUAGUUUUCUGGUGGCAUCUUUAGGACUCUCUAUGUAUAGUAUCAUGUCAUUUGCAAACAGUGACAGUUUUACUUCUUUUUCCAACUUGUAUUCCUUUUAUUUCUUUUUCUUCUCUGAUUGCCAUGGCUAGGAAUUCCAAAGCUAUGUUGAAUAAUAGUGGCAAGAGUGGACAUCCUUGUCUUGUUCCUGAUCUUAGAGGAAAUGCUUUCAGUUUUUUUCUUGAUGAGUCUAGCUAAUGGUUUAUCAAUUUUGUUUAUCUUCUCAAAGAACCAGCUUUUAGUUUUAUUGAUCUUUGCUCUUGUUUUCUUUGUUUCUAUUUGAUUAAUUUCUGCUCUGAUCUGUAUGAUUUUUUUCCUUCUUCUGCUAACUUUGGGUUUUCUUUGUUCUUCUUUCUCUAGUUCCUUUAGGUGCAAGAUUAGAUUGCUUAUUUCAGAUUGUUCUUGUUUCUUGAGGUAGGAUUGUAUUGCUAUAAACUUCCUUCUUAGAAUUGCUUUUGCUGAAUUCCGUAGGUUUUGGAUUGUCGUAUUUUCACUAUGAUUUGUCUCUAGGUAUUUUUUUAAUCUCCUCUUUGAUUUCUUCAGUGAUCUCUUGGUUAUUUAGUAACGUAUUGAUUAGCCUCCAUGUGUUUGUGUUUUUUACGGUUUUUUCCCUGUAAUUUAUUUCUAAUCUCAUAGUGUUGUGGUCAGAAAAGAUGAUUAAUAUGAUUUCAUUUUUCUUUAAUUUACCGAGGCUUGAUUUGUGACCCAAGAUGUGAUCUAUCCUGGAGAAUGUUCCGUGUGCACUUGAGAAGAAAGUGUAAUCUGCUGUUUUCAGAAGGAAUGUCAUAUGAAUAUCAAUUAAAUCUAUCUGGUCUAUUGUGUCAUUUAAAGCUUGUGUUUCCUUAUUUAUUUUCAUUUUGGAUGAUAUGUCCAUUGGUGUAAGUUCCGUGUUAAAGUCUCCCACUAUUAUUGUGUUACUGUCGAUCUCCUUUUUUAUAGCUGUUAGCAUUUGCCUUAUGUAUUGUGGUGCUCCUAUAUUAGGUGCAUAUAUAUUUAUAAUUGUUAUAUCUUCUUCUUGGAUUGAUCCCUUGAUCAUUAUGUAGUGUCCUUCCUUGCCUCUUGUAAAAUUCUUUUUUUUAAAGUCAAUUUUAUCUGAUAUGAGAAUUGCUAUUCCAGCUUCCUUUUGAUUUCCAUUUGCAUGGAAUAUCUUUUUCCAUCCCCUCACUUUCAGUCUGUAUGUGUCCCUAGGUCUGAAGUGGGUUUCUUGUAGACAGCAUACAUACGGGUCUUGUUUUUGUAUCCAUUCAGCAAGCCUGUGUCUUUUGGUUGGAGCAUUUAAUCCAUUCACAUUUAAAGUUGUUAUCAAUAUGUAUGUUCCUAUGACCAUUUUCUUAAUUGUUUGGGGUUUGUUUUUGUAGGUCCUUUUCUUCUCUUGUGUUUCCUACUUAAAGAAGUUCCUGUAGCAUUUGUUGUAGAGCUGGUUUGGUGGUACUGAAUUCACUUAGCUUUUGCUUGUCUGUAAAGCUUUUGAUUUCUCCAUUGAAUCUGAAUGAGAUCCUUGCCAGGUACAGUAAUCUUGGAUGUAGUUUCUUUCCUUUCAUCACUUUAAAUAUAUCGUGUCUCUCCCUUCUGGCUUGUAGAGUUUCUGCUGAGAAAUCUACUCUUAACCUUAUGAGAGUUCCCUUGUAUGUUAUUUGUCAUUUUCCCCUUAUUUUAAUAAUUUUUCUUUGUCUUUAAUUUUUGUCAGUUUGAUUACUAUGUGUCUUGGGGUGUUUCUCCUUGGGUUCAUACUGCCUGGGACUCUCUACACUUCCUGGACUUGGGCGGCUAUUUCCUUUCCCAUGUUAGGGAAGUUUUCGACUCUAAUCUCUUCAAAUAUUUUCUUGGGUCGUUUCUCUCUCUCUUCUCCUACUGGGACCCCUAUAAUGUGAAUGUUGUUGCAUUUAAUGUUGUCCCAGAGGUCUCUUAGGCUGUCUUCAUUUCUUUUCAUUCUUUUUUCUUUAUUCUGUUCCGCAGCAGUGAAUGCCACCAUUCUGUCUUCCAGGUCACUUAUCCGUUCUUCUGACUCAGUUAUUCUGCUAUUGAUUCCUUUUGGUGUAUUUUUCAUUUCAGUUAUUUUAUUGUUCAUCUCUGUUUGUUCUUUAAUUCUUCUAGGUCUUUGUUAAACAUUUCUUGCAUCUUCUCGAUCUUUGCCUCCAUUCCUUUUCCAAGGUCCUAGGUCAUGUUCACUAUCAUUAUUCUGAAUUCUUUCUCUGGAAGGUUGCCACUUCAUUUAGUUGAUUUUCUGGGGUUUUAUCUUGUUCCUUCAUCUGGUACAGAGUUUUCUGCCUUUUCAUUUUGUCUGUCUUCCUGUGAAUUAGGCUUUUGUUCCACAGGCUGCAGGAUUGUAGUUCUUCUUGCUUCUGUUGUCUGCCCUCUGGUGAAUGAGGCUAUCUAAGAGGCUUGUGCAAGAUUCCUAAUGGGAAGGGACUGGUGAUAGGUAGAGCUGGGUGUACUCUGGUGGACAGAGUUCAGUAAAACUUUAAUCUGCUUGUCUGCUGAUGGGUGGGGCUGGGUUCCCUCCCUGUUGGUUGUUUGGCCUGAGGCAACCCAACACUGGAGCCUACCUGGGCUCUUUGGUGGGGCUAAUGGCAGACUCUGGGAGGGCUCAUGCCAAGGAAUACUUCCCAGAACUACUGCCAGUGUCCUUGUCCCUAUGGUGAGCCACAGCCACCCUCUACCUCUGCAGGAGACCCUCCAACACUAGCAGGUAGGUCUGGUUCAGUCUUCUAUGGGGGUCACUGCUCCUUCCCUCUGGGUCCUGAUGCACACACUACUUUGUGUGUGCCCUCCAAGAAUGGAGUCUCUGUUUCCCCCAAUCCUGUCAAAGUCCUGCAGUCAAAUCCUGCUAGCCUUCAAAGUCUGAUUCUCUGGGAAUUCCUCCUCCCAUUGCCAGACCCCCAGGUUGGGAAGCCUGAUGGGCUCAGAACCUUCACUCCAGUGGGUGGACUUCUGUGGUAUAAGUGUUCUCCAGUUUGUGAGUCACCUACCCAGUGGUUAUGGGAUUUUAUUUUAUUGUGAUUGUGCCCUUCCUACCAUCUCAUUGCAGCUUCUCCUUUUUCUUUGGAUGUGGGGUAUCUUUUUUGGUGAGUUCCAGUGUCUUCCUGUCAAUGAUUGUUCAGUUAGUUGUUUUUCCGGUGUUCUCACAAGAGGGAGUAAACGCAUGUCCUUCUACUCCACCAUCUUGAACCAAUCUCGACCUACCAAACUCUUGAAGGUUUCCACAACUCAAGACAUGACUGGAAGAAUGACCACCGUUUUGGAAUAGGGAUGAGAUGAAGACCUCAGGAGACAGACCCAGACAAGGAAGUCAAGAGCAAGCAGCCAUGGGACUGAAAUGAGAGACACCUUGCAAGGACCUCCAACCACUUCUUUAGUGCCGGCCCUUAGAGGAAGGAAAUGCCAACCAUGGCUCUCCACCACAGCCUCCCCUUCUACAUUUAGGAUGAAUCACCGAAGUCAUUUCCUAAGUAAACGUUCUUUUUAGCUCCCUGGAGAAAACUGUAAAGGAGCUAGUUUUUUGUUUGUUUCUUUCUUUAUUUAUUUAUUUUUUUGGCUGCGUUGGGUCUUAACCAGGGCACGCAGGCUUCUCUCUAGUUGUGGCGCGGGCUCCAAGGCGUGUGGGCUCUGUAUUUGCAGCACACGGGCUAUCUCGUUGAGGCACGCGAGCUCAGUAGUUGUGGCACGCAGGCUUAGUCGCCCCGUGGCAUGUGGAAUCUUAGUUCCCCAACCAGGGAUGGAACCCACAUCCCCUGCAUUGGAAGGUGGAUUCUUUACCACUGGACCACCAGGGAAGUCCCAAGGAACCAGUUUUAAGAGAAGAGAUUCUAAAAAUAUUCUUGGAAAAUUUCAAUAUUGGUUCAGGGAGUUUUAAAAGAAAGAAAAAUUACAGCAAUCGCUGUGGAUGAGAAUCACAUCACAGCUCCAGUUUGUGCCACCUACAAGACUAGCGGGGUUUUUUCAGAGUCAGCCUCAAACCCAGAAUCAUCUUCCUACAGCAUCGUUUUGAUCCUGUUGCCUCCAUGCUCAAAACCCUCUAAUGGCUUCCCAGGCUCUACAGAAGCAAGCCCAGCAAGUGCAGUGGCCCCAGACCAAGCUCAGCACCUCUGAAGCUGCAUAACCCUGACCAGAACCACUUAGCGGGCACCUAUCACUUCUUGCUUGACUGGUGGUAAUUUUUUCACAUUUAUUUCAGUGAAUAGACCCUAAACUCCUUGAGGGUAGAAUGCCAGGCUGGAUUGCCUUGGAGAAGGAAAUCACUAUCUUUGUGAUAAGUUCGGAGUACCAUGAGUAUUGACAACAUCAGGAAAAUCCCCAGCCCGCUCUGUCAUGACUAGCACACAAUCUAUUAGCACAUCCGUGUCAUGGCAAUAGAAGACCAUGAUGUCUGCCUGUAGCAUGUUAAAUGAGUCAGCAAAGCCCACCAGGUUAGAGAUCAAAUUCAGGACCUGGACUAGAGAUUGGAUUUUGUUCUGUCCUUGGCAGGGAAUGCAGUUCCAGUCCCUGUCACAAGGUGAGGCAGAUUCAUCACCACCUCCAGAAAAAAUAACUUAAAAAGCACUUGCUGACUAUGGCUCCACAAGGCCCUUUGUACACCUACCCCUUUCCAUCUGUAUUGCUUUUAGACACACCUCAGGUUGGGUGGGGGAAUGGGGAAAAAGACUGGGAAUUGUUUGCAUUUUAUUAUUUUUAAAUCUCAAGUUAUGAGUGAUGUUAAAAGUAAAAUGUAUUGAGUAAGCUCAGCUUACUCAGCUGACUGAUGAUGUGAGUGAAAUGCAUGCUCAUUUGCUUACCAAUGUCUUCUUUCCAUGCUGAACACAAAAGGAUUUUUAUUGUGUUUCUAAUUUGAAAUUUGGAUAAUUACAGCAAAUAGACUACUUUUGGAAAGUCACCUUUCCAACAUACCGCAGACAAGAAGCAAUGAGGGAUUCUUGGUGAUGAUUUACUCUUGGAGAAAUAGACAUUGCACUCCUGACCAAACAGCAGAAAUGGAAUGACCUGAAGUACCAUGAUUUUACUGCACAACUAAAGCCAACAUCUGGAUGCAAUCACCAAGAGUUCUGGCUGCUUUGGCCACAUCUAGCAGAGAUGCAGAAAGCCUUACCAAAAGCCCAGUGCAUUCUUUGUGAAGCUGCCCAACACUUUUAGCACACCUGGGGUCAGUUAGGAAGGCAAGAUGUCCAUGUGAGCAGGAUGAGCUCACCCCGUGCCUUUCAAUGAUCUCAAACAUUUGCCAUCUACCCCAGCACAUGCAAAGUACCACCUACAUGCGUAUUGGAUUUCUUGGAUGUGGUGGGAGAAGGGGAGGAGAAGAACAUGUUUCUGCCAUCUUUAUUUAGUAAAUAAGGAAAGACUACAGUCCAUCUACUAGGGUGAAGUACAACUCCACUUACUCUGUGACUAAGCAAGUUAUAUAGUAUCGGCCUCACUCUCCUUGUUGGUAAAACAAAAAUGAUAAUAGUACCUGCCUCAUGAAGCUGUUGAAGACUGGUAAGAUGACAAAUGUAAAAUGGCCACACCAAGUAACUUCUCAAAGAAUGUAGCCUAAAAGAAUUAAAUUAUUUCAUCAUAUUCUCUCUGUGUCUUCUCCAACUUCCAUGCAGAAAAGUCACCUCCCUUAAAAAACUUAAAACUUGAUCUACAAUUCACCCUCACAACUGAACACAUCUCCACUUCUUUCUUUCUUUAUUUAUAUUUUUGAUGUGGACCAUUUUUAAAGUCUUUAUUGAAUUUUUUACAAUAUUGCUUCUGUUUUAUGUUUUGAUUUUUUUGGCCGUGAGGCACGUGGGAUCUUAUCUCCCUGACCGGGGAUUGAACCCGCACCCCGCUGCAUUGGAAGGCAGAGUCUUAACCACUGGACUCCUGGGGAAGUCCCACCAUCUCCACUUCUCUAAAUGUCCAGUUCCUUGAAAGAGGAGUCUGCACACGUGGGCCUGCCCUAAUUCGCAUUCACGCUCACCACCUGCCCCCUCCCACACAGUAAGUGAUGAAGAUCAUUCAUCAACCGCCCUUGCCACCUGACUUGGAGUGUUUCCCAGGCUCCCCCACUGACAUGCUGGACACAGGACUGGAGUGGGUCACUAGAAUGUGGACAAACAUGAUAUUUGCCACGUACGAGCAGAAACUUUGAAUGUGCGCACUUCCUUUACUUUGGCCUCUUGCAUUCUUGUCUUCUUCCACGAGAACAACAUGGAAAAGAAAAGCUACUGCUUUAGCCUGAGUCCUGGAAUGAGAAGAUGCCUUGAGCCCAGGAAAGCCCUCCAGAAUCGCAGCCAAUUCGCAGGCUUCAUUUCAUUUCAGAAGGCAAUAAAUGUUUUAUUCUGUUGAGAAUUGGGUUCUUUGUUCCUACAGCAAAAGCUGACCAAUGUCUAGUAUCUGCUCUCCUGCCGACCUAAGCAUCCCUAUUAUAAUGAUCAGUAAGGGAUAAUAUGCCCCUUCUUCAUCAAACUCCCCCACUUCCUCCACCCACC